UUUAAAUAUUGUGUGUGUGUGUGUGUGAUUCAUACAAUGGUUGUUUUGGCUGCAGGAGUUUGGUUGUCAGCAGCAAGUUAAUGAACAAUUUAAGAUACUGACAUUGACACUUUCACCAAUCAUGCAGCCCAUCAAAGUUGCUCAAGGAUUUUCUACUGCAUUUGGCUUCUGCAAAGUUACUCAAAGAUUUUCCAUUGAAUUAAGCUUCUACUCGUCCUGCUGUAACUUUGUAAAGGGUUUCAAAUAAACAUACUUACAUAUUCUGUUACAUACACUGUAAAUGUCCUGAUAUUACACAGUAGAAAUGAAAAGGAAAAGCAAUUAAAAACUGUUUCAAAAAAAGAAAAAUCUGAAAUUCAUAGUUCAGAAAUACAAGGCCAUAGCCAAAGUAUGCAUCUCUAACCUUUCUCACAGUUAUGUAGCCCUGAGAAAUAUCUUUGCUAAUUAGAUAAUUGCAGAAACUUUUCCUAAUACAGCUAAUUUAAAUGCAAAGUCCCUUAAUAAAAUUCAUUUUUUUUUCCUUUCUUUAAAAUGUACUUGUCACUCUUAGUUGAUUUGUGGGACUUUUACAUAUCAAAGUUGAAAACCAGCCAGAAAAAAAGUGAAUUAUAUUUUAGGGAGAAACACGAUUACAGUGUGAAGAGGAGGAGGAAGUUUUCCUCCUCUGCCCACCACCCUUCCUCAAGGGGCACGAGGCAAAGGCUGGCCUGUGGCUAUAAGAUGGUACAAACCACAGGCUCCCGUCUGAAUGUAGAUAAAAAUGCUAUGCCUUCAACCAGCACGUUGGACUGAUGGGCAAAAAGAGGCUGUUCUGGAAAAGCUCUGCAAUGGGAAAACAGGAGAUGGAGCCUACUUUCCCUGCACGUCCCUGCUGAACAUGCCAUAGAUGUACCAGGUGAAAGUACAAGGCUUGGCAUCCAGACAGGGCUGGGCUACAGAGUGCUGAAAUGCCUCUAAGGAUUAGUCAAAGGCUGGGUGAGUUUUCCAGUAAGUGGCAGCUGAGCUUUGUCCUAUGUUCCCCCGCCAGCAGCAGCUGAAAGAACAAAGUGUGAGAACAUGGAGCAGUUUUUGACUCAGCCAUGCAGACGGCAGCAGAGUGUGCUGGGGAAGAUCCCAGAGUUUUCAUCAAGUUUUUUCUUAAAAAUAAUAAUUGGGAAAAAAAAUAAAAAAUCAUGGCAUAAUAUUCAGUAGCAAUUUGGCCAAAGACUAACUGUUGAGUGGGAAUUUGGCCUGAGACUAAUUGGCUCAGACCUGAAACGCAGUGGGAUGAGAAGCUCUUUCUUCACUUCUGACAGCCUGAAACUAUUCUUAAGUGUCUACAUCUUCCUUUUCAGUUCAUCCCUUGUCUGCUGAUUACUGCUGACCAAAACAUGCCUGUCAUUCAAGUACCGCUCUACCCCAGCCCUGCUUGACUCAGAAGCUUCUUGGGCUGUGUUUUUCAGAAGCUGCAUUACAUUUGAAGGAGCUGAGACAGGAAGAUGCUACUUUGACAGGCUUCUUAAGAAGAGCAAGAAGCUGAAAUCAGAAGGAAGUGAAGCUCACUCAUCAUCCGGCAGAGCGAAAGAUGCUGGGAGAGUUCAGAGCUCAGAACUGCUUCUCCCACAUGAUCCAGGGAUGGAUGAGAUGCUGCCUCCCAUGAUAUCACCUUCCCAGCUCUCCAGAAAGUGGCUAGAGACCUGGUAGGGGUGGAUGGGGUUGGAGGGAAACAAUGGCUACAUUAAGUAGAACUUUUUUCUGUAUCCCAAACAAGAAUCAAAUAAAAGUCCAGCUGCUUUUGUCCUUUUUUAUUCACUUUCAAACUCUGCUUAGCACUCCUGAGAGGUUAAUAUCUUCAGUUUAAUAGCUUAAACUACUAUCAGCUCAAACUACUCUUUUGUCACCAGUUAAAUGGUAGUUCCUAAUUCAGGUUUUGUGCCUCCUCUUGUGAUCAGACAUUCUGGUCACCCACAUUAAGAUAAUCCCCCCUCAGAUGGUGAAUUAGCAUCAGGCUUAGACAAUGUCUCAAAGGAGAAAGUGUUGAAGUGGCUCAUGUCUUCUUUUUUUUUGCCUUCUGUUGCUCUCCGUAUUUUGUUUUCUCUGGCUGUAUUGCUCAAUCUCACAGGCUUGGACCUUUCCCAUCUCAUUACUUCUUCUAGCUGGAGAAACAUCAAGGCUAUUACCAUCAGUGGUGAACGGGGCAACUCUGAAGUCAUUAUUGUGUCUUCAAAAAGAGUUAAAUCAGCAAAAGGUCAUUUCAUAAUAGCAGUAAAAGACAGCAGUUAUUGUUCAAUGCAACAUAUUGACUGGUGGCUUAACAGGUUACAUUCUCACCCAAGCUUUCUUUGCAAAAGGAAAUAUAAAAAA